rnacentral:lncRNA from 1 species
AAUCCUAAUAUCCUAUUGACAAACCAGGUUGUAUUCCGCCUGGCUCUUCUGUCGAGCAGUCAGCCAGGAUCCCAGGCUAUCAUUUUACUCUAAAAAUGACCAAAUACAUACUCCUUUGGCCAAACCCCAAAUAAUGUGCAAAUAUUUUCGUGGAGAAAUAAAAUUAAAGAACCUUAGUGAGCGCGCUCACAUGCCCCACGUCCCCACAUUGUCACUGGAGAAAUAAAAUAACUGUAAGAAAAAAAAGUUGUAUAAGAAAAAAAAUGAAUCAUAAUUU